GACGAACGCUGGCGGCGUGCCUAAUACAUGCAAGUCGAGCGGACGAAUCGAAAGCUUGCUUUUGAUUCGUUAACGGCGGACGGGUGAGUAACACGUGGGCAACCUGCCCUGUAGACGGGGAUAACACCGAGAAAUCGGUGCUAAUACCGGAUAACACGAAAUGUCGCAUGACGUUUCGUUGAAAGACGGCGCACGCUGUCGCUACAGGAUGGGCCCGCGGCGCAUUAGCUAGUUGGUGAGGUAACGGCUCACCAAGGCGACGAUGCGUAGCCGACCUGAGAGGGUGAUCGGCCACACUGGGACUGAGACACGGCCCAGACUCCUACGGGAGGCAGCAGUAGGGAAUCUUCCGCAAUGGACGAAAGUCUGACGGAGCAACGCCGCGUGAGCGAAGAAGGCCUUCGGGUCGUAAAGCUCUGUUGUUAGGGAAGAACAAGUAACGCAGUAACUGGCGUUACCGUGACGGUACCUAACGAGAAAGCCACGGCUAACUACGUG
rnacentral:rRNA from 1 species